rnacentral:ncRNA from 1 species
UCCAUUGCGACGAACUGAAGUAGUAAGGGAGUCAUUCCGUUUUAGAGAGCUGGUGGUCGGUGCAAACCAGUCGGAAUCGUCCGUGAACUCGUCAGGGAGCAUGAUUCGUGAAACCAAGUAGCGAACUCCGGUCCUUCACACCGUUAUCUGUGAAUCAAGUGGUCUGCUUCAGCAGACAACGUGGGUGGUACCGCGGGAGACAAACCGGUCUUUCGUCCCUAUU